rnacentral:rRNA from 1 species
UACGAAGGGGCUAGCGUUGCUCGGAAUUACUGGGCGUAAAGCGCACGUAGGCGGCUCUUUAAGUCGGAGGUGAAAUCCUGGAGCUCAACUCCAGAACUGCCUUCGAUACUGUAGAGCUUGAGUUCGGGAGAGGUGAGUGGAACUGCGAGUGUAGAGGUGAAAUUCGUAGAUAUUCGCAAGAACACCAGUGGCGAAGGCGGCUCACUGGCCCAUAACUGACGCUGAGGCACGAAAGCGUGGGGAGCAAACAGG